rnacentral:rRNA from 1 species
CAGUAGCCACGGGAAUACGAAGGGUGCAAGCGUUACUCGGAAUUACUGGGCGUAAAGCGUGCGUAGGUGGUGGUUUAAGUCCGUUGUGAAAUCCCCGGGCUCAACCUGGGAAUGGCAGUGGAUACUGGCUCGCUAGAGUGUGUCAGAGGAUGGUGGAAUUCCCGGUGUAGCGGUGAAAUGCGUAGAGAUCGGGAGGAACAUCAGUGGCGAAGGCGGCCAUCUGGGACAACACUGACGCUGAGGCACGAAAGCGUGGGGAGCAAACAGGAUUAGAUACCCGCGUAGUCCCUGUCUCUUAUAC